GACGAACGCUGGCGGCGUGCUUAACACAUGCAAGUCGAACGGAAAGUCCCUGCUAUUAGGGUGUGCUCGAGUGGCGAACGGGUGAUGAACACGGGAGUAGCCUGGCCUGGACUUUGUGAUAACUUCAGGGAACUGGGGCUAAGACCGGGGAGGUGCUCCUGCUUCAUAGUGUAGGUUGGAAAGUUUCGGCGGUUGGGGAUUGACUUGCGGCUGAUCAGCUUGUUGGUGGGGUAGUGGAUUACCAAGGCUUUGACGGGUAGCCGGCCUGAGAGGGUGACAGGACACAUUGCGAUUGAGCUAAGGCCCAGACCAAUACGGGACGCAGGAGUGGAGAAUAUUGUACAAUGGGAGGAAGCAUGCUGCAGUAACGCCGCGUGCGGGAAGCGGGCAUUCGGGUUGUAACGCGCUUUCGCGUGUGAUGAAGCGUGAGUGACGGUAAUAGAUAAAGAAGCACCGGCUAAAUACGUG
rnacentral:rRNA from 1 species